CGGGUUGGUUGCACCGCUAUGGAUGUGGCUCAGAAGCGAUCGCGCUCCUGGGUGGGGUCUGUUUUCUCAACCCGACCAAGCUCUCCUUCCCCCCUCGGCAAAGCUGGCUCCGGCCCUUCCUCGCAGAGCAAGAUGAAGAGUUCAGGUCAGCAGCUUCUCACCUUCUUGGUGACUGGCUCUGGAAAUUAAGGGUAAUUCCUGUCUUGCAGCACUCAUUGGUGUAACACAUGCAGAUACCCACAUCUGGAUAAAAAAGAAAAUUAUUUUGAGGGGUUUGAACUGGAUCUGACUUUUGUGUUUGCUGUAAAUCCCUUAAAUCACUGGUCAUGCAGCUGAGGGAACAUGGAGUGUCAGUGUAGAUCUUAGUGCUGGGUGUAAGUUCACCCCUGUGCACUUCCUCAUCUGUGUUGAAACAUCACCCAAAAAUUGCACCUCAGACUUUAACAUGCAAAAACACUCUCUUAAGCAAGGCUUGGGAAAUUAAAAGUGAAAAAAAAAAA